GUUCCCAUCGUCUAGUGGUUAGGACAUUGCCCUUUCACGGCAGUAACAGGGGUUCAAAUCCCCUUGGGAAUACCA
rnacentral:tRNA from 1 species